CCUACGAGGAGCUGCAGUGAGGAAUAUUGGUCAAUGGGCGCGAGCCUGAACCAGCCAAGUAGCGUGAAGGAUGACUGCCCUACGGGUUGUAAACUUCUUUUAUAAAGGAAUAAAGUGAGGCACGUGUGCCUUUUUGUAUGUACUUUAUGAAUAAGGAUCGGCUAACUCCGUGCCAGCAGCCGCGGUAAUACGGAGGAUCCGAGCGUUAUCCGGAUUUAUUGGGUUUAAAGGGAGCGUAGAUGGGUUGUUAAGUCAGUUGUGAAAGUUUGCGGCUCAACCGUAAAAUUGCAAUUGAUACUGGCAGUCUUGAGUACAGUUGAGGUAGGCGGAAUUCGUGGUGUAGCGGUGAAAUGCUUAGAUAUCACGAAGAACCCCGAUUGCGAAGGCAGCUUACUAAACUGUGACUGACAUUGAUGCUCGAAAGUGUGGGUAUCAAACAGGAUUAGAUACCCCUGUAGUC
rnacentral:rRNA from 1 species